rnacentral:tRNA from 1 species
GGGAGCGUAGCUCAGUUGGUUAGAGCAGCGGACUCAUAACCCGCCGGUCCUGGGUUCAAGUCCCAGCACUCCCA